rnacentral:rRNA from 1 species
UACGUAGGGUCCGAGCGUUGUCCGGAAUUACUGGGCGUAAAGAGCUCGUAGGUGGUUUGUCGCGUUGUUCGUGAAAACUCACAGCUCAACUGUGGGCGUGCGGGCGAUACGGGCAGACUAGAGGUACUGCAGGGGAGGACUGGAAUUCCUGGUGUAGCGGUGGAAUGCGCAGAUAUCAGGAGGAACGACCGGUGGCGAAGGCGGGUCUCUGGGCAGUAACUGACGCUGGAGGAGCGAAAGCGUGGGGAGCGAACAGG